rnacentral:misc_RNA from 1 species
GAUGAAGAACGCAGCGAAAUGCGAUAAGUAGUGUGAAUUGCAGAAUUCAGUGAAUCAUCGAAUCUUUGAACGCACAUUGCGCCCCAUGGUAUUCCGUGGGGCAUGCCUGUUCGAGCGUCAUUUACCCCCUCAAGCUCCGCUUGGUGUUGGGCGUCUGUCCCGCUUCGCGCGCGGACUCGCCCCAAAGGUAUUGGCAGCGGUCGUGCCAGCUUCUCGCGCAGCACAUUGCGCUUCUCGAGGCACCGGUGGGCCCGCGUCCAUCAAGCUCACCCCCCCAGUUUGACCUCGGAUCAGGUAGGGAUACCCGCUGAACUUAAGCAUAUCAAUAACGGAGGA